CAUAAGAAAAGCAACUGGGAACGAGAUUACAGGAAGUGACGUCAUUUCUCAGCGUGAGGCAAGGCGGGUCGUUUUUUUUGAAUAGAUGCCGUAAGUUUUUUGUCUUUAUUUGAAAUAAUUUAGCGUUUUUAUUGAAAAUAACUGCUUAAUAUCGAUAGAUUAGUCGUUCCUCUACCUGCUGCAACUGUUUUUCUUUAUUUAUACACGAUUAAACUAUAGUUAACACGAUUUUGCUGCAUGUCGUCCCCAGCGACGGAUUAUUAUGCUUUUGUCAUUUUUCCUAGUCUAGUCCUCAUAUCACGGAACACACUGACGCCAAAUAUCAAUUGAUUAGUGCAUUCUGCGUCUAAAUACAUCUACUUCUCUUCAUAUAUCCACUGUUUUAUUACAGGAUUCCCCUUACUUCACGUUUUCUGAAGGAGCACAGAAUCCACGGCUACAUGCGCACACUAAGCAAUGCUAUAUUGUCUCUAAAUACGUUACCAAGACCAUUUCAGAAAUUGAACUCAUUUAAUUUGACUAAUGAACUACCUCACGCGACACACCUCCUGGCCGAAGCAUUUCUUCGCAUUUCAAUGUAAAGCUCACAAGAGUGUUUUUUAAUCCAGCCUUAAUAUAACUCUACUAAAGUAGUAGGCAUUAUGGUAUAUUCCAGAAAUCAGUUUCACCUCCUUUCCCCAAUUUUUUUCAUCACUCCACUCUCACACUUAACGGCAUGACACAUCUCCCAUCCACUUACCGAUGAUUCUUUCCAAUCUUAGAAAUUUUACUCCCCCACUGACUCUAAAUAUAUUUAUGUUGUCUGUAACUAGAAAGCAUGCCCUGCCCUAGAAAUGAAUUUCAUGUCAUUUGUUCAAUUCUUUAUUUCCAGAAAUUACAUGGUUUGUCCUACAUUCCAUCCAAGCCGUCAGCAGAAAUUAUUGCCUCUUUUAAAAAUACUUCUUCACUACUCAGACUAAACAUAUAUAGGGCCUACAACUAGAAAUCAAGCUGUGCUCUAGAAAUGCAUUUAAUGCCAUUUGGUAAAUUUCUUAUGUGCAGAAAUCACACGUUUGAUCCUGCACUCCACCUCCCAAGUUGUCAUCGGAAUGUUUUGCGUAUGUUAAAAAUAUUUCUCCCGCACUCAGACUAACCAUAUUUAUAUAAUAUAGCGUACAACUAAUCAUCAUGCCUUCCCCUAGAAAUGAAUUUCAUUUCAUUCACUUCAUUUUUUAUUCACAUAAUGACCACAUUAUGAAAACACUGAGCGCGUCUGCAGAAGUUUGCGAAGUUUCUUUCCAUUUCUCCCCACUGAUAUUCAAUAGUCAAUGCAAUCAAAUUCCAUAUCCUAUAAGCAGACAUUCUGAAGCAUUCUAGAAGCAAAUUUCAUGUCAUAUGUUCAUUGCUUUACCACUCAACUUGCACAUUCCAGGGCACGACCUCCGAACCACCUGUUGAUAUUUCUUUCCAAAUUUAAAAAUAUUUUGACCUCACACACAUUCAAGGCUCAAGAAAAGUUCACGUUUUGCAGUCUUACAUGCGAAAUUUGUACUAAAAAUAUUUCAACCCCACUCAGGCCAAGGGCGUAUCAUCUCUCCGAACCACCUGCCGAUGUUUCUUUCCAAUGUUCAAAAUAUUUUUACCUCACACACAUUCAAGAGCUCCGUUCUCCUUCAACUUCACAUAGGUGGAGAAAGAGCACUUUCAUGUACCUUCUUCCAAGCUGCAUCGUAGCCGGCUAGCCAAGGAACUAGGACAACAGAACCAUGUAACCAGCAAUUCCUGCAUCUCUUGUGUAUUCAUAUGGCAAUUUUAUUUCUAAUUCUAACCAAGAGACGGUGAUACUCGCACAGGACGGAAAGGAUGCUGGAGAGGUGGAAUGUUCUCGAUGGCGUCACAUGGUGUGUUCUUACUCCUCUAGUAGAGGAGACUUCCUCAACCUCAGGACCAUCAGGAGGAGAUGGCUUCCUCAACAUACAAGCGAGCGCACAUUUCUGGCUCCACGCGUGGCCACUGCCGUUACAACUGACUAACUGUCACGCCUUUGCAGGCCGCCAAUGGUCAUUUUUUUUCUUGCACGUUGCCUACAUUGUGAAACACUUGGACCAUUGUAGUGGAUGACAGGAACAUAUGAAGUCCUAUAAUUUGCGGUGUUCACUCUAGAGGUGUCACCCGAUGAAGUGUGCCGCUUUCACUAUUACGAAUAAUCUUGACUGAUUCGUAGUCCUCAAAGUUGAUAGUUUUACACUGUUGGUGUUCAUGUGGGGCAAACAGGCACCUCAGGCAUCAUUGCUGUUGUUUGACCUCUCUCUUUUAUAGACUUGGGCUGCACAAAUGGAAUCCUGUGGAUCAAACAGAUGGAAUGUUCAGAAUCUGGCUGUCCACUGUUGAGAUAAACCUAGUCACUUCUGAAACGAAGAAGGCCACAAAACGAGAUGAUUUGUCUUUCAACACAGUGCAUGGGUAUCAUUAUAUAUGUUCAGACUGACGACCACAAUGCAAUAUUUACUAACACCUUUUUUUUUCAUGUAUAUAUAUAUAUAUAUAUAUGUGUGUGCUCCAUACUGCACAAUGAUUCUCACAAGGGUUCCACGUAGCUUCACAAUCUCUUAGUUUUUCUUUACAUCGAGCCAGGAGUGGAUUAAAAAUUGGUACGAUGUUAAUAUAAGCAGCACACAAAAAUAUUUCCAAAUUAGGUUCACAUGUACAAAACUGCACAACGUGAAUUGAAAAGAAUGUGGAAAAAAUGAAGAAAUUGAGCCUAUUAGAGAGCAAAAAAUACAGCACAAGUGUACAACAUGUGGAAUGAAAACACAUGCACACAUAACCAGUUCUUGAAUUGCUUGACGAUGGUACCGGGAAGGCGGUUCCACUACGACAUACGAGGAAGAAAUGAAUUCAGAAAUGACUUCCUUGAACAUCAGGGAAUACCCACUUUCUACAGGUGAUCGGCACGAUAUGAGAUAUAUAUAUAGCCUGCUAGACCAAAGAUUCUCUGAGGUGAUUAUUAUGAAUGAUAAUAAAUCUUGUCGAAACAAGGACUAGUUAUGUUUUGACAAGUGCAAAGUAGAAGCAGAUGGAGGAUAUGUUUCAUAGCAGUGAUACUGGCAUUGUAGUUACCAAAUAUGAACAGGCUGUCCUGCAUUGUACUGUUUCUAUUGAGUUUGAAAUGUUGAUGUAGUCGGUAUCCGACACAGAGCUGUGUUUUCCAACUUAGGAAGGGCUAGUAAUUUAUACAGUCACUAUAGUUGGAGUGGAUGAAAAAAAUUCAGAGGUGUAACCUGGAGCUCGAGAUUCGUUGGUAGUGAUGUGUUCAACAUGAGGGAGCCAGGACAGGUUAGAUGAAAUGAAAAUUAUGAGGUAUUUGUAAAGUGAUACACAGAGACCAUGGUGAUACGGAUUCAAAUGGAAUGUUAUUAAUGGAAUAAGUCACAUGCACUUUAUUAGAGCGAGAAAUUAUCACCAGAAUUUGGUUCUUUUUUUGGGGGGGAGGGUAUAUUUACAUGCUUGUCACUCAAUAUUCUGCAAUCUCGCUAGAUUUUAUGGGGGGGUCUGGAUAAAUCAUUGAUGUAAGAUCAUUUGGAAGGUUAUUAAUGUAUAGUUAUGCUUCGCUUAUCCAGAUUUCACAUAUCUGGAAAACUUGCAUUACCGAGAACGAGCCAGCUACAAUAGGACUUGGUCCCGGUUAUCCUGGAAGAAGACCAACUUUCUGAGACAUUAGCAGGUUGACUCAGUGCAUGCUGUGGGUGUGACCAGAAUUCUGUCACACAUUACUAUUGAUUGCAAUUGGUUCCCUUUGCAUGAUUUUUUGAAGUAAUCUUUUUUUUUGUUCCCUUUUCUGGAGCUAUAAAGGAGAGUUUUAAAUUUGUCUGGUUCUCCCGGAAAGGGCUAAAGAUGGGACUGUUUGGUGGCCCAUACUUUCAAAUUGGUAAAAAUUCAUGUGCCAGGGAACAAACAAAAAAGACCCAGGGAGUAGGCAGGAGUAUCAAUUUUAAGGUUUUCCCAGAAGCUUGCUUGGUUCAGUUAUCUGGUAUCCAGAUGAAAAGGGAUGACUACUGAAGUGUCUGGAUAAUGAGACACGACUGUAUAUGAGAAAGAGAAGUGGUCCAAGGACAGAAUCUUCGCGAACUCCAGAGAGGACAGGCGUUAGACUGGAUUCAUUAUCGUUCAUAGAGACAAACUGUGAGCGAUUAGUCAAGGAAUGUAUCCAAGAUAGAAUUUUAUCAUCAAUGCCAAUAUUGUGCAAUUGAUGAAAAAAAGAAAAAAAAGAGAGAGUGUGAUACGUUAUUGGAUGCCUUCGAGAAGUAAAGAAAUCUGCAGUUCAUGCAGAACUUGUGAUCCAGUGUGACAUGAAAGUCAUAAGAAAAGGGACUAGCCGCGUUUCACAACAAUUUUUUUUCUAAUACCGCGUUGAUAUGGAGAGAAGGAGGAACAGAAUUUUAGGUGUUAGAUAAUGUGCACUAGUAUUGUACAUGAAAUUAUGGGGCAAUAAUUGUUGCUCCUCUUGCACAAUGCUUGUCUCCUGAUUUAUGGAGUGGUACAGCUUGGGACAAAAGUUUACGGAACACGGCACUGGCACAUUUCUUCAUCCGAGCGGCCCCCUGUUAGAUAUUAGGAAGAGAUCGAACAAGAAACAGGUGACCGGCUAUUCUGUUAAUUUUUCAGUAUGUGUGUCUGCUCCUUUUGGCUGCCAGGGGGUCGUCCCAACAGCUAAAUGCGACACCUCGGUGUUCCGUAAACUUUUGUCCCAAGCUGUACCACCUUUCCAGUCAUGUGGAAGAAUGAUCUCUCCAAACAACAUCAGCAAUCGGCACCAGCAUGCCUUCUGUUGAACUCCCCCUUCCAAUUUUACACUAUCUUUAUCUAUGAAUUCUAAGUCCAUUAAAAGUAUGUGAUGGUUUGA